ensembl:lncRNA
CCCUAACACUGAUAUUUCUCUUUGUCGUCCCUCAGUGGAUAUUGUAAUAAUAAUAAUAAUGGCGCUGUGAGUCAGGUGAAACGUUUAAUAAAACAAAACCAGUAAUGACAAUUACAUAAGGCCACAUGCCAGUAAACAAGAAUACCAACUGAUGAAAAAAAACAUAAGGGAGUGACCUAAAGUGGAAGAUAAUGAAGUCCAGGUGGGAAUCAUGAUUAACAGGUGUGCGUAAUGAUGAAUCCCAGGAACGGUGGUUAGUAUUCUGGUGACAUCGUAUGCCAGAGGGGAGAAGCAGAUGUGACAGUGCCGGCUGGAAACCCAAAACACUGGAAGGGGGUCAACCCAGUGGAGUAGUGAUGUAGGGAGUUCUGGGCGUACUCUGCCCAGGGAAGGAAUCGUGCACUCACCCUGCCGAUCCUGACAGUAAAUCGUCGGGAAUCUCACCAGCCCCUGGUUCACCCUCUCCACCUGCCUGUUAGGCUGAUAUCCGGAAGUGAGGCUGACCGUGACCCCAAGCUUCUCCAAGGCCCUCCAACCUUGUGAUGUGAACUGGGUGAACGGUUGGAGAUGAUGUCCUCCGGAAGGCAAUAAUGCUGGAAGAGUGCCUCGGCGACCUGGAGAGCAGUGGGGAGACCAUGAAGAGAGAUUAAAAGCGACAUGACUUAGAAAAUCUAUUCACCCCUCAGAGAGGGGGGGUUCGGUUACAAAGUAGAUAGAUGUGACUAAGGUCGCAGAGGCAUGGGAAGUGCCAGGAGCUUCUCUGCUGGAUGAUUCUGGGGGAGGGGGGCUUGGUUUGAGCACAUCUGUAACAGGCGUUGACAUACCGAGUGACAUUCUGCACCAAGGUGGGCCACCAGUACUUCUCAGUGAUGGAGUAGAUGGUGCGAGAAAUACCUGGAUGUCCAGCGACGACAACUAUGUUCCCAGAUCAGCAGCCAAUCAUCCCAAACCACUGGACCCACAACUCAGAUGGGAUUAUGGAUUCCCUCUGGCCAGGAACCUCUCCCGAAUCAUAGAUAAGGGCCAGAGCAUCAACCUUGAUGUUCUCAGAAUCUGGGCGAUAGGUCAGCAUGAAGUCGAACCUGGUGAAGAAAAAUGCCCACUUGGCUUGUUGCAGAUUCAGUCUCCUCGCUGUCCUUAUGUACUCUAGAUUCCGAUGGUCAGUGAGGAUAACGAAUGGUUCCUUGGCGCCCUCCAGCCAGUGUCUCCAUUCCUCCAAUGCCAAUUUCACCACCAGGAGCUCCGGAUCGCCAAUGUCGCAAUUUCAUGGAUUUCAUGGAGAAAAAGGACAAGGAUACAAUUACAAUGGGUUAUCCUGUCUUUGUUUUAAAACUGCUUCCACGCCCACCUCAGACGCGUCUACCUCAACCACAAAAGGUAGCGUGGGAUCUGGGUGUUAUAGCAAGGAGGCGGAGGUGAAAUACUGCUUGGAAACAAAAUGCCUCGUCGGUUGCUGGAGACCACACACCCCUACGAGGUCCACCCUUGAGGGAGGUGAUAGCGGGCAGCGACAGCGCGCUGAAGCUCCUGAUGAAGAGGCGGUAGAAGUUGGCAAACACCAGAAACCAUUGUAACCCCUUGAUGGGGUUUGGGACUGGCCAUGACUUUACCGCAUCUACCUUGUCCUCCAUCCUCACUCCCUGUGGGCUGAUUUGGUAACCCAGGAAGGAUACAGCCUUCUGGUGGAAUUGGCACUUCUCUGCCUCGAUGAACAGGUGAUUAACCAAGCAGCAUUCCAGGACAGUGCGAACGUGGGUGGUGUGGUCUUUCAGGUUGGUCGAGAAGAUCAGGAUGUCAUCGAUGCAUACAAUCACCUGCCGUUCAAGCAUGUUCCUGAACACCUCAUUGCCGAAUGCCUGGAAAACUUACGGAGCAUUGGCUAAGCCAAAGGGCAUAACCAAAUACUGGUAGUGACCAAACACCGUGCUGAAUGUUGUCUUCCACUCAUCCCCCUCCCGGAUGCGGAUCAGAUUGUAGGCACUCCGUAGGUCCAGUUUGGUGAAGAACUGAGCUCUGCGGAGCUGCUCUAUGGUUGACGGCACCAACGGGAGAGGGUACCGUAAUCCUCCCGCCUUUUUGGCCACGAAGAAGAAACCAGCCGACACAGGGGACGUGGAAGUCCGGAUGAGACCCUGUUGGAGCGCCUCUUGAAUGUAAUCCUCCAUGGCCUGGGUCUCAGUCACAGACAGAGUAUAGAUGCGCCUGUGCAGAGGUGUAGCACCGGAAAACAGGUUGAUGGCACAGUCCCAGGGGUGAUUAGGAGGGAAACAACUAGUGUGGGUCUUAGAGAAUACCUCCUUAAGGUCCUGGUAUUCCUCGGAUGUUGGGCGGAAGGGCAACCAUAGGACUCCCAAACGACGUGGAACAGGGAAGCAGGUCUUCCGGCAUUCAGGUGACCAGUCUGAUUUUCAUCCACAACCAUGAGAUGAUAGGGUUAUGGUGUUGGGUCAAGGGAGGCCGAGGAUGAUUGUGACCUGGUGCACUUGUGAUGAAGAUGCUCUACUGAUGAUUGGACUCCAUGGUGAGGGUGAGUGGUUGAGUGAUGUUUUUAAUUAUUCCAGAUUCCAAUGGCCGACAGAGGAGUCGUUGAACCCUAAAAGGAGAGGAGAGCGGCUAGAUGGUAAUGUUGAGGGAGGAGGCAAGGGUCUGAGCCAUAAAGUUCCCUGCAGAGUAGGAAUCCACUAAAGCUGUACAGUACAUGAGGGACAAUCAGCCAGAGUGAUGACACCGAAAAGUCUAGUAGGAAGAGCUGAAUCUGGAAUACUCACUCCUGGUCCAAGGCAUGGAACAUCACGUGACCAUCCCUCUGCUCUAGUGGAUCCUGAAGUACCGUACACUGCUGGAGCUUGUGCCCUUCUUGCCCACAAUACAGACAGAGCCCCAGCUGUAUCCGUCUGCAUCGUUCUGCUGUGGAAAAGCAUGUGACCCCUACCUCCAUGGGGUUCAGGCUCUGAUCCCGAGUACUCGCCAAAGUAGGAAGAGAAGCAAUGAGAAUGCCGACGAUCCCAGAGAGGGUUAUCCAGGCAGAAGGCCAUCGCAUGGAGUGCGUCCAGGAUGAGAUUGUCGUCCUGACAGGCCAGUUCCAUCUGGACCUCCUCUCGCAGACCUCUUCUGAAUAGCAUGCAAAGAGUCUUCUCAUUCCAUCCACUGGGAGCUGCUACUGUCCGGAAGGUGAGCGCAUACUCAGCAGCAGUCCGAUUCCCCUGCUGUAGCAGAUGCUCACCUCCCUCUCCGCGGAAUGAUCAAAAUACAUUUUAAAAAACAGAGCCAUGAACCGCUCAUAAGACUCUAGCUCCUCCUGUCCUUUCUCCCAGAUGGCCGUAGCCCAUUCCAAUGCCCGCCCUGAUCAUUAGAGAAAUAACCGAGGCAAUCUUAGCCCUCUCGUGGUGGGGGCUCCCUUCUGGUGUGAAAAAUAGAGGGAGCACUGAAGGAGGAAGCCACCGCAUUUGGAUGGUGUAAUGUAGUAUUUAUCCGGGAGGGAUGGGCAUCGCGGAAUCGGCCGUUGCGCUGGCUCGUUGGGUAGACUGGCUCUAGAGUAUCCUCCGAUACUGGGCUGCUUGACACUGCAAACUACAGAGAACCUCUUCCAUGGCCGUCCCCAGUUCAGCCAGCUGGUCAUGGUGUUGACGUAGAAGGUACCCUUGUUCGUUGACCGUCUGAGAGAGUUCCGACUUUUCUGCUGCUUCCAUAGUUUGAGUUGGUAUUCUGUAAUAAUGGAGCUGUGAGUCGGGAAGCAGGUGCAGCAGUUAAUAAAACAACAAAAUCAGCAACAAGUCAAUUCCAUAAGGCUACACGCCAGUAAACAAAAAC